AGUGAACGCUGGCGGCGUGCUUAACACAUGCAAGUCGAACGAGAACGGGAUAUAGCUUGCUAUAUUUGUCAGCUAAGUGGCGCACGGGUGAGUAAUGUAUAGGUAAUAUGCCUCUUACUAAGGGAUAACAAUUGGAAACGAUUGCUAAUACCUUAUAUGCCUUUAAGACUAAAGUCUGCAAGGGAAAGAUUUAUUGGUAAGAGAUUAGCCUGUAUUGUAUCAGCUAGUUGGUGAGGUAAUGGCUCACCAAGGCUAUGACGCAUAACUGGUUUGAGAGGAUGAUAAGUCACAGUGGAAAUGAGACACGGUCCAGACUCCUACGGGAGGCAGCAGUGGGGAAUAUUGCACAAUGGACGAAAGUCUGAUGCAGCAACGCCGCGUGGAGGAUGACACAUUUCGGUGCGUAAACUCCUUUUAUAUAGGAAGAUAAUGACGGUACUAUAUGAAUAAGCACCGGCUAACUCCGUGCCAGCCGCCGCCGUAACAC
rnacentral:rRNA from 1 species